rnacentral:rRNA from 1 species
UACGUAGGAUGCGAGUGUUAUCCGGAAUCACUGGGCGUAAAGCGUCUGUAGGUUGUUUGCUAAGUCUGCUGUUAAAGCUUGAAGCUCAACUUCAAAAAUGCAGCGGAAACUAGUAGACUUGAGUGUGGUAGGGGUAGAGGGAAUUUCCAGUGAAGUGGUGAAAUGCGUAGAUAUUGGAAAGACCACCAAUGGCGAAGGCACUCUACUGGGCCACUACUGACACUGAGAGACGAAAGCUAGGGGAGCGAAUGGG